rnacentral:rRNA from 1 species
UACGUAGGUGACGAGCGUUGUCCGGAUUUACUGGGCGUAAAGAGCGCGCAGGCGGUCGAUCAAGUCGAGUGUGAAAGCCCCCGGCUCAACUGGGGAGGGUCAUUCGAUACUGAUCGACUCGAAGGCAGGAGAGGGUAGUGGAAUUCCCGGUGUAGUGGUGAAAUGCGUAGAUAUCGGGAGGAACACCAGUGGCGAAGGCGACUACCUGGCCUGUUCUUGACGCUGAGGCGCGAAAGCUAGGGGAGCAAACGGG